rnacentral:rRNA from 1 species
UACGUAGGCAGCAAGCGUUGUUCGGAAUUACUGGGCGUAAAGAGUGUGUAGGCGGUGCUCUAAGUUAGAUGUGAAAUCUCCCGGCUUAACUGGGAGGGUGCGCCGGAAACUGGAGUGCUCGAGCGUGGGAGAGGAAAGCGGAAUUCCUGGUGUAGCGGUGAAAUGCGUAGAUAUCAGGAGGAACACCGGUGGCGAAGGCGGGUCUCUGGGCCGAAAUUGACGCUGAGGAGCGAAAGCGUGGGGAGCAAACAGG